AUCACCUUGGUAUCUUGUUAAAGUGCAGAUUAUGAUUCAGCAAGUCAAGCAGGGCCUGAGAUCCUGCAUUUUUAACAAGUGCCCCGGUGGUGCUGA
rnacentral:pre_miRNA from 1 species